CCUACGGUGGGCAGCAGUGGGGAAUAUUGCGCAAUGGGGGCAACCCUGACGCCGCAACGCCGCGUGAUUGAAGAAGGCCUUCGGGUUGUAAAGCUCUAUCAGCAGGGAAGAAGAAAGACGGUACCUGACUAAGAAGCCCCGGCUAACUACGUGCCAGCAGCCGCGGUAAUACGUAGGGGGCAAGCGUUAUCCGGAUUUACUGGGUGUAAAGGGAGCGUAGACGGCUGUGCAAGUCUGAAGUGAAAGCCCGUGGCUCAACCGCGGAACUGCUUUGGAAACUGUAUAGCUUGAGUACUGGAGAGGCAGGCGGAAUUCCUAGUGUAGCGGUGAAAUGCGUAGAUAUUAGGAGGAACACCAGUGGCGAAGGCGGCCUGCUGGACAGAAACUGACGUUGAGGCUCGAAAGCGUGGGGAGCAAACAGGAUUAGAUACCCGAGUAGUC
rnacentral:rRNA from 1 species